GGGCGAGUGGUGAAAUUGGCAGACACGUAAGAUUUAGGUUCUUAUGCUUAUAGCGUAGGGGUUCAAGUCCCCUCUCGCCUA
rnacentral:tRNA from 1 species